UUUUUUUUUUUUUUUUUUGGAGGCAGGGUUUCUCUGUAUAGCCCUGGCUGUCCUGGAACUCACUAUGUAGACCAGGCUGGCCUCGAACUCAGAAAUCCGCCUGCCUCUGCCUUCCAAGUGCUGGGAUUAAAGGUGUGUGCCACCACUGCCCGGCUAGACAUUCAAACCUUAUAAGUAAAAUCCUGGGGGUUGGGAAGGUAGCUCAGUUUGUAGAGCUCUGAGUUCCACCCCCAGCACAGCAUGCACUAGGCUUGGUGGCUCACACUUAUAAUCCCAGAAUAUAGGAGGUGUAGGCAGGGGGAUGAUCAAAAUUCAAGGUAAUCUUUGGCUACAUAGUGAGUUUGAGUCCUUCCUGAAAUACAUGAGACAGACAUUUCAAAACAAAAUGGAAAUGGGAACGGUGAGAUGGUUUAGCUGAUAAAGGCACUUGCUGCUAAACCUGAAGACCUGAGUUUGACCCCAGACCCACAUGAUAGGAGAGAACCAACUCCUUUAUAUUGUCCUCUGACCUCUGUGUGAGCACUUGCCCACACUCACCCACUCACACCCUCCACACACACAAUAAAAUACAUUCAAAGACUACAUGUGUGAUGUCCAUAUAUUGGCCCAAUGUCAAGUGCUAGGGUGUAGCCAAGUACCAGGAGAGCUGAACAGGGUUGCAUCUGGCUUCAGAAGGAAAGGCUGUUUAUGUUUAGGAAGAUUGAUUAGAGCAGGAUUCUGCUAUGCUCUGCUUAAUGUUAUUUUUUUAGUUGUGUGGAAUCUAUUCAACAAACGUUUGGGUAUUCUUCUGUUGCUGGUGUUGUCCUUAGGAACUCUGCAAUCUGAAGUGAAGAAAAUGCGAAGAUGAUUCUUGAGGACUUAAUAUUCUAGUUGGGGCAUGCAUGGUUGAGUAUACAUUUACCAGAAUCUUGGGAGUUGAAGGUAGAAGGAGAAGAAGUCCAAGGCCAACCUUCAUGACAUAGUGAGUUUGAAGGCCAGCAUAGCCAUAUGAAACCCUGACUCAAAAAGUUACUAGUGAGGUUUCAUUUUCUCCUCAAAGAAGACUUCCCUGUUGAAUCAUGUGCUUGGACUACAUUCCUGAAAACUAACUCUGCCAUAUAAGUAUAGCAGAUGACUUUUUUUAAAUGUAAUUUUCUGGAUAUGGUGGCACAUGUCUUUAAUCCCAACACUGGGGAAGGAGAGUGUGUGGAGCUCUGUAAGUUCAAAGCCAACCUGUUGUUCAUAGUGAAUUCCAGGUUAGCCAGGGCUACACAGUGAGACCAUAACUUAAAAUUUUUUUUCUUACAUAUGUAUUCCUUGUGCAUAUAGCUGUUUGCUGUGGGGUCAGGAAAUGGAACUUUAGGUCCUCUAGGGGAGCAGCAGGUGCUCUUAACGAUUUUUCCCACCAGCAAGCAAUUUUAUGUGCAAAGGAUCUCUUUAACCACUUUUUAUAAUUCAGAAGAUGAAUAUAUAUACAUAUAUAUACACAUAAGUACAUAUAUGCAUGUAUACAUAUAAAGUUUACAAUUGGUAAAAUUCAGUGUAGGGCCUGACACUGGAAUAUGGUACAUUAAUGAUUGCUACAUUCCUAUAGAUCUUGAAUGUGAAGAAAAAAGGUGGAGGGGCCUUACAAAAAGCCACUGGUUCUAGUCCCCCAGGCCACUAGUGAAGUCCCACGGUGACUUGGGAGGGUUGGGAUAUGCCUGAACUUACCAAAAGUCCGAUGGAGAUUCUCUGAAAAGGACAAAUAAGAAUAGACUUAGUAAGGAACUGAAAGGGAGUCCCUUCCUUGGAUCUAUCUAAAUCCCUCAAGGUUGGUUCUAGCCCUGAUGCAAAGUAAACCGUGCUAUAAGAGCUCGGGUGAAAAAAAAAUCUAAUUUUUAGCUGUCUAUAGUCUUAAAUAUAAAGUUCCCAAUUGAAGGGAGCAUGGAGCAUUGGGGGAAAGGCAGAAAUGGUCUGAAGAGAGGGAUAUUUUGGUUAAGUUAUAAAGACCAGAAGAGGAAUUGGGGAGGGAGGGUGUCUGGAACUCACCUACUUCUGCACGAAGUUUUCCUAAAAUAGAAAAAAGCAGGUAUUUUAGUUCCUGAUCUAACAGUAUGAGGACCCUUCCAUACCACCCAGCACCUUGGACCUUUGUGUGGAGAAUUCUUUGAUGGCCCGGGAGCAUCUUAGAAUAGGAAGAGCUCUAGAUUUGAAACCAAGAGUCCAGUCUCUUUCUGUGAAUAUUGUCUGAUUAAAUAAUGAAAUAAAGAGCAUGAGAGCCUGGAACUGAUAGUGAUUGGUUGCGUUGUCUGUCAUCACAGCAAGGACAAGGCUGAUUAUGUCGAUCUAGCUGGCUUCUUUUCUUACAACUCCGUAUGUGUCCCUCCCAAAACUGUUUGCUUGGCUGGAGAAAAUGACCUUCCAGAAGAACAGGGCCCACUGUUCUUUGGUUACAGGUAUAACAAAUUGCUGCAGUUCACAACUGGAACCUCCAAACCUUUUUGCAUUUAAGAAUGCAAAAGUCUGGGGCUGGUGAGAUGGCUCAGCAGGUAAGAGCACUGACUGCUCUUCCGAAGGUCCUGAGUUCAAAUCCCAGCAACCACAUGGUGGCUCACAACCAUCUAUAACAAGACUGGAUACCCUCUUCUGGUGUGUCUGAAGACAGCUACAGUGUACUUACAUAUCGUAAAUAAAUAAAGCUUAAAAAAAAAAAAAGCAAAAGUCUCAGGAACCUGCAAUGUUCCUAACAUACC
rnacentral:lncRNA from 1 species